rnacentral:rRNA from 1 species
AACGCUAGCUACAGGCUUAACACAUGCAAGUCGAGGGGCAGCACUAGGUAGCAAUACUGAGGUGGCGACCGGCGCACGGGUGAGUAACGCGUAUCCAACCUGCCGUUCACUACGGGAUAGCCUUCUGAAAAGGAGAUUAAUACCGUAUGGCAUUCUAACGUUUCAUGAUGAUAGAAUUAAAGGUUUACCGGUGAACGAUGGGGAUGCGUUCCAUUAGAUAGUAGGCGGGGUAACGGCCCACCUAGUCAGCGAUGGAUAGGGGUUCUGAGAGGAAGGUCCCCCACACUGGAACUGAGACACGGUCCAGACUCCUACGGGAGGCAGCAGUGAGGAAUAUUGGUCAAUGGCCGGAAGGCUGAACCAGCCAAGUAGCGUGAAGGAUGAAGGUUCUAUGGAUUGUAAACUUCUUUUAUGAGGGAAUAAAACCUCCCACGUGUGGGAGCUUGUAUGUACCUUAUGAAUAAGCAUCGGCUAACUCCGUGCCAGCAGCCGCGGUAAUACGGAGGAUGCGAGCGUUAUCCGGAUUUAUUGGGUUUAAAGGGAGCGUAGACGGGAGAUUAAGUCAGCUGUGAAAGUUUGAGGCCCAACCUUAAAAUUGCAGUUGAUACUGGUUUCCUUGAGUGCGGUUGAGGUGUAUGGAAUUCGUGGUGUAGCGGUGAAAUGCUUAGAUAUCACGAAGAACUCCGAUUG